rnacentral:rRNA from 1 species
AUUGAACGCUGGCGGCAUGCCUUACACAUGCAAGUCGAACGGCAGCACGGGAGCAAUCCUGGUGGCGAGAGGCGAACGGGUGAGUAAAGUAUCGGAACGUGCCCAGUCGUGGGGGAUAACGUAGCGAAAGUUACGCUAAUACCGCAUACGAUCUAUGGAUGAAAGCGGGGGAUCGCAAGACCUCGCGCGAUUGGAGCGGCCGAUAUCAGAUUAGGUAGUUGGUGGGGUAAAGGCUCACCAAGCCGACGAUCUGUAGCUGGUCUGAGAGGACGACCAGCCACACUGGGACUGAGACACGGCCCAGACGCCUACGGGAGGCAGCAGUGGGGAAUUUUGGACAAUGGGCGCAAGCCUGAUCCAGCCAUGCCGCGUGCAGGAUGAAGGCCUUCGGGUUGUAAACUGCCUUUGUACGGAACGAAAAGGUUUGACUUAAUACGUUGGACUCAUGACGGUACCGUAAGAAUAAGCACCGGCUAACUACGUGCCAGCCGCCGCGGUAA